rnacentral:rRNA from 1 species
UACGGGGGGGGCAAGCGUUGUUCGGAAUUACUGGGCGUAAAGGGCGCGUAGGCGGCCCGCUAAGUCGAACGUGAAAUCCCCGAGCUCAACUCGGGAACUGCGUCCGAUACUGGCGGGCUUGAAUCCGGGAGAGGAAUGCGGAAUUCCAGGUGUAGCGGUGAAAUGCGUAGAUAUCUGGAGGAACACCGGUGGCGAAGGCGGCAUCCUGGACCGGCAUUGACGCUGAGGCGCGAAAGCUAGGGGAGCAAACGGG